rnacentral:lncRNA from 1 species
CGUUCAAUCUUGUUUUUGUUUUCCGGGCGCGACGUCCACUUGACGUCCUUUGUGGAGCGGUUCAGUCGCUUUUUUUGCUGCACACGUGAAGUGAUCCCUUAGUAUUUCCUGUGAAUGUAGGAGGUUCGGAUGCGGACCCCGCUGCAUGGAAUACGAAGAUGCGAAAGUUUAUUGAUCUCAUAGCACUGGGUGAGGGAGAACGGCAACAAUGAGGAGCUCAUACAUCCUUAGCUCAACGGUGAUUCUUUUGCUGCUUUGGAUGAAAACAGAAAUAGUAUUAGAGGCGAGCAAAAUCAAAACUGGGGUCGAGAUUUUGAUGAAGUUCUACAAACCAUGCGUGACUGGAUGGAAUAGCACCAAUUGUUUUCGGGAAAAAACUGUGCAUCAACCAGACCCCGCACACAUGACCAACCGCACUUUACCACAAACAGAUAACACGAUGCCAUCCGAAGACCCACCCCCACAAGACAACGCAACUUCUACCAAAAGGAGCCAGACUAAUUAUGCCGUGGGCGCAAAUUUAAACUUCACACUUAUUGGUUUGGUUCGCAAGAUUGUACGAUUAUUCUCAACGGUUGCGACCUCCGGUAAAACUGUGAAUCCAUCCAUGGCCAGAUCAAACGAACCUACCGAUGAUCAACGGAAAGACGAAAAAAAUUCAGCUAUCAAGGGCAAGAAAGUUCAGAAAGACGCCUCAGAAUACUCAGAGGACAAUAACUACACGGAGGAAGAUAUGCAAUUCGAGCCAGAUCAAGGUCACGAAGGUGGUGAUAUGGGUUACGCGGGAGAGGAAGAGGAACUUGAGAUGGAGGAACCGGAAGAGGAAUCGGAGGAAGAAGACGAGGACGACGAUAGUGGAGGUGGUGGUGGAUACAUGCGUCCUAUCGCGAUGAAUAUGGGCGCCAUAAUGACAAAACCCAGCAUGGAGCCGCAGAAAAUCCCCAACUCAGGGUCAGUGAGCCUCAAGAAAGAACCAUCCUCAAUGAUGCCCGGCAUGAGCUGGCCCAUGAGACCCAUGCAGAUGAUGCCUCUUAUGGGAGCCCCCAAUGGAGGUGAAAUGAUGAUGCCCCUAAAAAGUGGUGACGAAGACGACGGUGGCCAAAACAUGGUGCCCAUGAUGAUGAUGAUGAUGCCGUCCUCCGACUCAUCGCACCACGACAAACAUAAACACAAGGACAAGCAUAAGCACAAAAAGAAGAAGAAGAAAAGAAGCAUAAGAAGAAAAAAGAGAGUGCAGCCGCCGCUAUGAUGGCCGAUAAAAUGGACGGUAGUGGAGAUGGUGGCGGCAUGAUGCCCGACCCCUCAACCAUGAUGAAAAUGGGGAUGAUUGGGGUUGGGGUAUGGUUUUGCUCAUCCUCAAAGCCAUCACGCUGAUUUCGGGUAAAGCUGUUCUUGCCAGCACCAUAGCGCUCACCUUAUCUAUCAUAAUGGCCUUAAAAGCGCUCUUCAACUCAGUCCAUGCGCAUCCACCAGAGGGCGCUGAUAAGGUCAUGACUUACAUGAAGAAGCCGAUCCAUAUCAACGCUGACGCUGGUUACCCGGACUACAGGAACUACCAUGGGAGUGACUGGGGCUACCAUGAUUCUAGUUACUUUCCAACGAAGAAGUCCGGGAAGCUGCCAGAGUAUAAGAUAGAUAAACUCAAGCGAACUGAUAAGACUCCCACAACCCUAGCUCAUACUGAACUCACAACGAGCAGUCCCGUUAACCCUUUCGACUUCAACCCGGAGACGUAUAGCUCGGCAAAUAUUAUAAACUAUAAAAGUGGUCUGAAUAACAGUGGUAUCAGCCAAUUUUAUUCACAUUCCGUCCCACUUUAUACAGGAUAUGCUCCGAUCAAUUCUUGAGGAUUCUUUUAUUCUUGAAAAAUAAAAAAUUCAAAAUAAUCGCAAUAUUUUUCCUUACCUUUUGCAAAAUAUAGUUUGAAUCUACUAUGCUACUACUACAAAUUCUCGUUUUCUGAUAUUCCCACAUUGCAGUUUU